rnacentral:rRNA from 1 species
CCAGCUCCAAUAGCGUAUAUUAAAGUUGUUGCAGUUAAAAAGCUCGUAGUUGGAUCUAGGGACGCGCAUUUCAAGCGCCCGUGCCGUCGGGUCAAACCGGCGGCUGCGUUGGCGUUGCGGGCUCGGUCCGUCGGUGCCCCACAAAGGGCUAUCGGCGUGUCAACCGGCCCGCCCGUCCCCUCCUUCUGGAUUCCCGUUCCUGCUAUUGAGUUAGUGGGGACGUCACAGGGGGCUCAUCGUCGUCGUGCAAACGGCGGCGGUGGGUCCCUGGGGCCCAGAUCGUUUACCGUGAAAAAAUUAGAGUGUUCAAAGCAGGCAGAUCCAAUUUUCUGCCACCGAAUACAUUAGCAUGGGAUAAUGGAAUAGGACCCUGUCCUCCUAUUUUCAGUUGGUUUUGGCAGCGCGAGGACUAGGGUAAUGAUUAAUAGGGAUAGUUGGGGGCAUUAAUAUUUAAUUGUCAGAGGUGAAAUUCUUGGAUUUAUGAAAGAUUAACUUCUGCGAAAGCAUCUGCCAAGGAUGUUUUCAUUAAUCAAGAACGAAAGUUAGGGGAUCGAAGACGAUCAGAUACCGUCGUAGUCUUAACCAUAAACGAUGCCGACCAGCGAUUAGGAGACGUUGAAUACAAAACACCACCAUCGGUGCGGUCGUCCUUGGCGUCGGUCUUUCGGGGCCGGCGCGGGGACGGCUUAGCCCGGUGGCACCGGUGAAUGACUCCCCUAGCAGCUUGUGAGAAAUCAUAAGUCUUUGGGUUCCGGGGGGAGUAUGGUCGCAAGGCUGAAACUUAAAGGAAUUGACGGAAGGGCACCACCAGGAGUGGAGCCUGCGGCUUAAUUUGACUCAAC